CUUGCAAAGGAACAACCUCCACCCACUAGGCUCACGACCCUGAUUGACUCGAGAGAAAAAAAAAAACGCACGAACUCCUCUGUUCUCCUCUCUCUUCCUCGCAGCCUCUGCUUCGUCCUCCACAAUGGCGGUUUUGGGUUUCCAAUUGUGAUGAUGCCUCCGCCCUGCAUCGUCCAUGGCAGCCAGGAUGUGGCAGAGACGGCCGGAAACAAGCUCCCCUCGUCCAUGGAGGGAUAGAUGUGACGGGUAUGGACAGAGCCGAGCUUCCCAUGUUCCGUGGCGGAUGGUAGGCGGCAUAUAGGGCUCGGCUGAAUACGAGCGCGACGCCGGAGUGCUGGAUUCGCCCAGAUCAAGCCGAGAAUAGGUGGGGGAGGUCUCCGGUGACGCCAGAGGUCACCACAGGACUCCUCCCACCUCUUCGUCCGCGGAAGGGAGCACCUCCACGACUACUGAGAACCCCAGCGAGUUACAUAACUAUCAAAUGUCAACUGUCACGGAAUAAAGACUCAUGUAGAACAAGUAUGUUCCGCCACCGGCUCACGUAAUUGUGUCCCUUGAUGCCCUGGUCACUGUUGGACGUGACGCCUAGGAACUACGACAUCGGACGCGAACCCAGUUCGCCUUUGGCCAUUCAUACUAACUACAACAGCUAGAGUGGUGGAGGAGGAUGAGGACUUCAAGGAGUUUGAAGUGGAUUAUGAUGUCUGAUUUAGAGUUUGGGAUGAUGAGGAGUCGACGACUAGGAGAGUAUUUCACCAUCGAUGGGUUUCUUCUCCUAUUGCAAGGUGAUACAUGCAUCGAGUUGCACACGGUCAUGUGUUCAUUUGGGGCGCUCACUGCUUUGUUUUUCUUGGGUUGCAAGCCAUUCUAGCCGCACCAGAUUCCUUGUCCCCCAUUCCGUGGUGGUUAGCGACUGCGAUGGAAACUGAUAAGCUUGAAACAACAACUGUUGUUCAGCGGAUUGUCGAGCUUCUUCCAACCGGUACAAAAAAGUUCCGCGACUGCCAGAACAACCACCGCGACACCUCGUGCUGCUAAAGAAGCUGGCGGGCGCCAUCCUCCGGUCCGCCCACGCCUUCGAGCGCGAGUUCUAGGUAGAGCAAGAGAUCAAGCAAAUUGUUCUUGGCUACUUAGAAAGUCCUACGUAACAAAAAUUACGGGUUCACGAGAGUUGGGAAGCUCAGUUUUCAAACUGUGAUUAAGUUGGCAUCCCACAGUUUCAAGUCAAUCUGCGAUUCGCGUAAGUGGUUCUUCUAUUGAUUGGUUCCCUAGGAGAAAGAUUGAAUCAUACUUCAAGAGAAAGAUAUAGCAACUUUGGGUACCUGAUCCAGUGUGCAAAAUGUCUCAUUAUUCUUUGGUGAUAUUUCUCUAGAGUGUACUGCAUUUGAGACAAAGUUUUGGUACUUGGAUACAUUUGAUACGUGGUAAAACUGAUGAGGAAAUUUGUGCUUUGUUUCGUUGUGGGGACUUUCGCCGAAGCAUUUCCAUUUUAGGAUGGAGUUGUUUUCGGUGGCAUUAUAAAGCCUGAACAUGUGCUACUUCUAUUUUGAAUGGGAGACACAUCUGGGCAGUACUAGGGAUGGACGUAGGAUAGUGAGGUAUGUGUGAGGGAAUGGUAUGUAUUUGUUGGAACUGAGUAAAGAACAUAUGAAUUCUUUUGAGAUACAUCUGGUUCAUUUGAAUGAUAACUUAAUGAAGGUUGUAUGAGGGAUGGGGGUCGUACUAACCUUGGAAGUGGGAUGCACUGUUGCAAGGGAUAAGGAGGAACUAAUGGCUUUCCAAAAUGUUAAAAUGUUCUCUCAAGUAAUAUCCUUGGGUCUAGAGGCUGCAUCCCACCUGCCUGAUAAUGACCUGUUACAUGAAUCUACUGUUUUAGACUUAUGUUUUUUCAGAUUUAUGGUUAAAUAGUUUUUAUUUUCCAUGUAAUGCAGAUAUACCAUGGCAUAUACGAUUUACAUUCUGUCAGUUACAUGAUAUACAUCUUUUUGUGCAUAUAAGCAUGAAACGGGCCGAAAUAGUAGCGAAUCCAAUUAGAAAUCAGCGCGGACAAACAACCGAUGCGCCAGAAAGGUAGUCCAGCUUCUUAUAGUUGUGUAUUGUUUCAGUUUUUAUUUAUACUAAUUGUUUUUGGUACUUACUUCGUGAUGAUUUGUAAUUUCUUCCCCUGAAAACUUCUACUAUUCAUCUCAGUAUUAUAGAUCAUCAAAAAUAUGGCUUAAAUUGUGCAUUAUCAAAAUUAUGGCUGUUGUUCUAAGUUCUAACUACUAACUUAGAAAUACCUAAUCAUGUCAAUACCGACGAAAGAAAAAAAUAUAUACAAAUACAUGUGAGCAGUUAAUUAGUAUGUUUAUCCAACUUAUGAAAUAUAUUCACGUAUAUUAAUCAUAAUCAAUUGUGCCUCGAGACCUACUAAUAUCUUCAUUUGAACUAACCUUGCAGAAGUGUUGUUGCUCAAAUUAAAUUUAUAUACCAUUUGUCUCAUUGUCAAAUGGUAGUUUGUUCAGUUAAAUUUCUCUUUUGGCAUAAAUUCAAGAACUUGCUUGUUGUGUGGCUCCAGGAGGAAAGCAUGUGAUUAUGGGUAAUUAAGGCACAUAUGAUCCGACUGUACUGUGUUUCUCUGUCUAGCAUAUUUCACGUUUUCCCAAUAUGAUUUUUUUCUGUCUUUGCGCUUGAGACUGCAACUUUGCUUUCAUAAUCAAAAUGGUAUGCAUUUUUCAGGUUCAUCUGUUAUAGACACCGGUUCUGCUUCGCAGUCUUAAGAUUUUGAUUAUCGAGCCAUAUGAUGGGUCUUGCUAUGUUAUUUUCUGAAAGGAAAGGCUUACUAUGUUUUGGCACCCCUGCCUUGUAAGGCAUGCCCUUUAAUUUUCUGAAAAGAAAGGGUCACCAUGAUAUUAUUAGCCUUAUGUAGGUAGCAAUGCUACUAUUCAGCAAUAUAUUCUUGUGCAAUGCUUAUCUGCAAUGUAACUUUCUGAUCUGCUUUGUCUGGUCAGCGAAGAAGGAAACCAGCAAGAUCAAAGUCACCGGGCACUCCUCUACACGCAUCCUGUAGACAACAUGAUAGUCAGACAUCGCAUGAAAACUUCCCUCGGCACUCUCACUCGCUUUUUUUCUAUUAUCUCGUAGCAGUGCACGGGUACUGAACUAAGAGCCAAUGGUUAAGCUUAAUUGAUAAUGUGUGUUUGAUGUUUCAGGUUGUGGUUUAUGAUAAAAUAGAUUUCAUACUUCUAUUCGAAAGAGAUUAGAGUUCAGAGUAACGGAUAAGUUACAAAAUAAGAGUAUAUUAUUCCCUCGGGAGUUUGAAGUUAGACAUUAAAGAUGCGCAUUAUUUCAUUUUAUGUAGUGAACUUUUGUACACAUUAAUGUACCUAAAUGUAUUUUUUAAAUGCAGAAAAUCUUUUGUGUUUUUCAAAAA